rnacentral:rRNA from 1 species
CCUACGGGAGGCAGCAGUGGGGAAUAUUACACAAUGGGCGCAAGCCUGAUGCAGCCAUGCCGCGUGUAUGAAGAAGGCCUUCGGGUUGUAAAGUACUUUCAGCGGGGAGGAAGGCGUUGAGGUUAAUAACCUCAGCGAUUGACGUUACCCGCAGAAGAAGCACCGGCUAACUCCGUGCCAGCAGCCGCGGUAAUACGGAGGGUGCAAGCGUUAAUCGGAAUUACUGGGCGUAAAGCGCACGCAGGCGGUCUGUCAAGUCGGAUGUGAAAUCCCCGGGCUCAACCUGGGAACUGCAUUCGAAACUGGCAGGCUAGAGUCUUGUAGAGGGGGGUAGAAUUCCAGGUGUAGCGGUGAAAUGCGUAGAGAUCUGGAGGAAUACCGGUGGCGAAGGCGGCCCCCUGGACAAAGACUGACGCUCAGGUGCGAAAGCGUGGGGAGCAAACAGGAUUAGAUGCCCUGGUAGUCCACGCCGUAAACGAUGUCGACUUGGAGGUUGUGCCCUUGAGGCGUGGCUUCCGGAGCUAACGCGUUAAGUCGACCGCCUGGGGAGUACGGCCGCAAGGUUAAAACUCAAAUGAAUUGACGG